GACGAACGCUGGCGGCGUGCCUAAUACAUGCAAGUAGAACGCUGAAGAGAGGAGCUUGCUCUUCUUGGAUGAGUUGCGAACGGGUGAGUAACGCGUAGGUAACCUGCCUUGUAGCGGGGGAUAACUAUUGGAAACGAUAGCUAAUACCGCAUAACAAUGGAUGACACAUGUCAUUUAUUUGAAAGGGGCAAUUGCUCCACUACAAGAUGGACCUGCGUUGUAUUAGCUAGUAGGUGAGGUAAUGGCUCACCUAGGCGACGAUACAUAGCCGACCUGAGAGGGUGAUCGGCCACACUGGGACUGAGACACGGCCCAGACUCCUACGGGAGGCAGCAGUAGGGAAUCUUCGGCAAUGGGGGCAACCCUGACCGAGCAACGCCGCGUGAGUGAAGAAGGUUUUCGGAUCGUAAAGGUCUGUUGUAAGUCAAGAACGGGUGUGAGAGUGGAAAGUUCACACUGUGACGGUAGCUUAACAGAAAGGGACGGCUAACUACGUG
rnacentral:rRNA from 1 species